rnacentral:tRNA from 1 species
GUCUAUGUAGUAUAAUAAUUACACUGGUCUUGUAAACCAGAAAAGAGGAACAAACUUCCUCCAAAGACU